AUAUUUGUCUCCACUAACAUUGCUCAGAUAUGCAGUGAUACACAAGACGGUUCUUACUUGAUUUUGGCCCCUAGGUGAUGCCAAGUAAAUGCAGUAAGAGGAAGAAGCUUUGCUUCAAGCAUUGACAGCUGCAUUUGUGCCAACAGUCAGUCACUACAACAAUGACAGACAUUAAUUGAAGCUUUGUAGAAAUAUAAUGAGUUGAUGGCAUCUCCAUUGGAGGGUUAGCUGAGCCUAGAAUGGAAUAUACUAUAAGCAUAGACCUAGAAUAUAUCCAGAAUUUUGGUUUUCAAAGCAAGGAAAAGGUUGCAUAUUUCUAUUACCUUAGAUUCAUUAUUGUAUUGAAAAUGGUAUAAAUCUUAUGUAUUCUUCACACAUAUUCAAAAAAACUAACUUUUUUCUUUCUCUA